rnacentral:rRNA from 1 species
UACGUAGGGGGCAAGUGUUGUCCGGAAUCAUUGGGCGUAAAGAGCGCGUAGGCGGCCCUGUAAGUCCGCUGUGAAAGUCGGGGGCUCAACCCUCGAAUGCCGGUGGAUACUGUCGGGCUAGAGUGCGGAAGAGGCGAGUGGAAUUCCUGGUGUAGCGGUGAAAUGCGCAGAUAUCAGGAGGAACACCGAUUGCGAAGGCAGCUCGCUGGGACGUCACUGACGCUGAGACGCGAAAGCGUGGGGAGCAAACAGG